rnacentral:rRNA from 1 species
UACGUAGGGUGCAAGCGUUGUCCGGAAUUAUUGGGCGUAAAGCGCUUGUAGGCGGCUUGUUAAGUUCCGUGUGAAAUCCCCGGGCUUAACCUGGGAAGUGCGCGGAAAACUGGCGAGCUUGAGUGCCGGAGAGGGUCGCGGAAUUCCCGGUGUAGAGGUGAAAUUCGUAGAUAUCGGGAGGAACACCAGUGGCGAAGGCGGCGACCUGGACGGACACUGACGCUGAGACGCGAAAGCGUGGGGAGCAAACAGG